GCCGGGGUGCCCGAGCGGACCAAGGGACAACGUGUGUCCCGAUCAGGGGCGCCCGGGUUCGAAUCCCGGCCCCGGCG
rnacentral:tRNA from 1 species